rnacentral:lncRNA from 1 species
UCAUAUUUGGCAGUAAAAUUGGAACUUGUGUUUUCAUUUCAAGUUCGUUAAAUACCAAAAGCAUAUAAAAUUAUAUGUAUAAAAACAGGAGUUAGGGGCUAUGGUUUUAUUUUUAUAUAACUCUUCAGACUACAUAGAAGGAAAUAUGAUUAAAUCAAAUAUGGUAACGUCAACAGAUAAAGUUCAAUCCAAACAGAAAAAAGACAAUGACCACAUGAUAAUGAUCGGACGUACCAUGUGAUUCGGGGGUCAAUCAAUACAGUACGUGCAAACAUUGGCAGCAUGGACCGAACAUCGAAAUCUAAACCCUAAAGUGAAAUGGACAGAUCGGGUAUUUCGUGGUUAAAAAAGAAUCCCAUCAUCAUCAUCCAUCAUCAUCGACGUACUUAAUGUGCAUUGCAUGCAAGCACAUGUGGCUCAAACUCGUCGAAGAGUUCCACUUUCCUGUGUAUGCCCAUACCCUCAUCAUGUUCAUUGCGGUGUUUUAUUAGAGGCAUACAUAUAUACAUUGCAGCAACAAACUGAAGCUAAA